UACGUUGGGGGCGAGCGUUGUCCGAAUUUACUGGGCGUAAAGAGCGCGUAGGCGGGUUCUUAAGUGAGAGGUGAAAGGUUCAGGGCUCAACCCGAACAGUGCCUUUCAUACUGGGAGCCUUGAGUGCGGGAGAGGCGAGUGGAAUUUCUGGUGUAGCGGUGAAAUGCGUAGAUAUCAGAAGGAACACCCAUGGCGAAGGCAGCUCGCUGGCCUACAACUGACGCUGAGGCGCGAAAGCGUGGGGAGCAAACAGG
rnacentral:rRNA from 1 species